rnacentral:misc_RNA from 1 species
AAAUCAAUUUUUUGGAGAAAAAAUCUCAAAAAUAUUUCAAAUUCCAAUGGCCAUUUCUAAAGCUCUCUUUGCUUCAUUACUUCUCUCCUUGCUCCUUCUCGAGCAAGUCCAAUCUAUUCAGACUGAUCAAGUGAGCAGCAAUGCUAUUUCUGAAGGCGCUGAUUCCUACAAGAAAAUUGACUGUGGGGGAGCUUGUGCAGCAAGGUGCCGAUUAUCAUCAAGGCCAAGAUUGUGUCAUAGGGCAUGUGGAACUUGUUGUGCUAGAUGCAACUGUGUUCCUCCUGGUACUUCUGGCAACACUGAGACUUGCCCUUGCUAUGCCAGUUUGACUACUCAUGGCAACAAACGUAAAUGCCCUUAAAUUUCUUCUAAAAAUAUCGUAUAUCGUGUGAUUACCACGGAUAUGUUAUUAUUGUAGUGUAUUAUUUUGUCAUAUAUUGUGUCAAUAAUCAAAAUCCAGUAAAAUAUCUUUAGCGUGGGUAAUUUAUUUUUUGGGGUGUUGUCUUUGUAAUUUUGAGGAAAUUUUAUUUGUGUGUUGAUUAGUACAUCUGGUGUAAUAUUUAUUCUGGUUUGCAUUGUAUUGUAUAAUAAGAUGAGGAAUAAAUGAAGUUUGAGUAUAUUAUUUUAUAUGUGUUUUAUUCUUGGAUGUUAAAUUUUAU